GACGAACGCUGGCGGCGUGCCUAAUACAUGCAAGUUGAGCGCUGAAGGUUGGUACUUGUACCAACUGGAUGAGCAGCGAACGGGUGAGUAACGCGUGGGGAAUCUGCCUUUGAGCGGGGGACAACAUUUGGAAACGAAUGCUAAUACCGCAUAAAAACUUUAAACACAAGUUUUAAGUUUGAAAGAUGCAAUUGCAUCACUCAAAGAUGAUCCCGCGUUGUAUUAGCUAGUUGGUGAGGUAAAGGCUCACCAAGGCGAUGAUACAUAGCCGACCUGAGAGGGUGAUCGGCCACAUUGGGACUGAGACACGGCCCAAACUCCUACGGGAGGCAGCAGUAGGGAAUCUUCGGCAAUGGACGAAAGUCUGACCGAGCAACGCCGCGUGAGUGAAGAAGGUUUUCGGAUCGUAAAACUCUGUUGGUAGAGAAGAACGUUGGUGAGAGUGGAAAGCUCAUCAAGUGACGGUAACUACCCAGAAAGGGUCGGCUAACUACGUG
rnacentral:rRNA from 1 species